GACGAACGCUGGCGGCGCGCCUAACACAUGCAAGUCGAACGGAGCUUAGAGAGCUUGCUUUUUAAGCUUAGUGGCGAACGGGUGAGUAACGCGUGAGUAACCUGCCCUAGAGUGGGGGACAACAGUUGGAAACGACUGCUAAUACCGCAUGAUGCAUAGGGGUCGCAUGAUUCUUAUGCCAAAGAUUUAUCGCUUCAAGAUGGCCUCGCGUCUGAUUAGCUAGUUGGCGGGGUAACGGCCCACCAAGGCGACGAUCAGUAGCCGACCUGAGAGGGUGACCGGCCACAUUGGGACUGAGACACGGCCCAAACUCCUACGGGAGGCAGCAGUGGGAAUAUUGCACAAUGGGGGAAACCCUGAUGCAGCGACGCCGCGUGAGCGAAGAAGUAUUCGGUAUGUAAAGCUCUAUCAGCAGGGAAGAAAAAAUGACGGUACCUGACUAAGAAGCCCGGCUAACUACGUG
rnacentral:rRNA from 1 species